rnacentral:lncRNA from 1 species
AUGCACGCGCCUUUCUUCGUCGAUGUCCGAGCGAGUGAACGCAUCGCGAGGCAAUGGCUGUAGAGACCUCUCCGUCGCUGACCAGUCUCUUUAUGCUGCCAUCUAGCCUUGAUAAAGCUUCAGGAAAACAGCCGCGGAAUCGAGUGAGAGAAUCGGGGUAGGACUUGGCUACAGAGUACGUCUGCAUUACUGCUGAAAACAGGAAAAUUUCCACUGGCGUGUACUGUCGAAGCAGCUGGCCGAGGAGUGAUCGAACGGAAUCAAUGCCGAAUCACUGUUUUAACAGCUGAUGGCUUUUUGGAUAUCCGCGCCCGCGAGCGAGAGCGACUGACAAACCAGCCAGGAGGUCAUGAAUUAUUCAGUGCGUCCGUGUUGUAGAGAAAUUUAAUUCAAUCUUUUUCUAUUUUCGUUUGUUAAGCCAAGAUUUGUUCAUAUACGAAACACACUUGGAUUUCACAGUGCUUGAACAGUGGAUUUUUCUUAGAAUCAUUAGUCAUCUUAAGGUCAAGUUUAGAACAUUAGUUUAUGCUCAAAGUACUUAAUACUUUGACAGAGGAAGUCUUAGAAAGAUGUCUCAUACGAUCAGGCUUUAAAAAAGAAUAAUUUUUCACUAAUUAGUGCCAAACAGUACAUAGCUGUUCAUGUGGAAUCGUAAUCCAUCAAUUAUUUUAUAUGAACGUUUUAAGGAAAACCAUAUUUUUUCUUUGUAAACAUGUAAAAUGCGUAACUAAUUUCACAAUUUUUUCACCUGGCUUUCGAAAUGUCUGCGCACGAACAAGCCACGUUAAUAAUUUAUUUUGUUUCGUAUUUGCUCUGUCUAGUAGAACAAUAGACAGAACAAGGAACUCGGAGAAACUUUGGCGAAUUCGAGAAGCACGUGUUGGCAAAGCCAACAAUUGCGUUACACGUUAAUUUUCACAGGUGAACAAACUUCCACACACAUACGCGCUGCCGCGUGUAUACGAGCCUUCGCGACAAGGCGGGCAUUUCGAAGGGUGUUUUCUAUUUGUUCAAUAUUUUUGAGGCGAAGUUUGAUCAGCGGGCGCGCGCGCGCAAAAUCAUCAGCCGAUUGGAACGUGAAUAGACGACUAAAUAUCCAAGCGUCAGGCGCGCUUCGGAAAAAUCCGUCCCGUAUGCGCGAGCUGUUGCCUUGAAGAAACCAGUCGUUUUCUCUAUCAUUACCGAGUGGGAUUCCCCUCUUGCAGACUUGUUCAGUGUGUCUGUGUGCACGAGUCCGUUAAACCCACUUACAACGCGGAUGUAUCUUACGAGCUGCUGACGCAACGGAGCAUCGGCGUUUUUCAUUGUUCAAGUUUAAUUAGUCUUUGAAUAUUUUUAAGUUUGCAAAUUGCCUUCUUAAUGCGCACCCAAAAACAAACAAACAUUGUGGCGAGCGAUAUGAUCCCGACAAAUGAUUAUGCAUAAUAUAUCAUGUUAGGUAUUCCCCCGUUCGCGAUCCUGGGCAAUUUCGAUUACUCAUAAGAUCUGUUAACCAUUCAGGUAGCAUUUUCUUCUUCGGGUCGGAAGCUAAAGCUUAUUAGACACUUAUGCAAAGGAAUGAUGAUGCUCUUAUUUUCGCCGCAUCCGUACACUUUAGUCGACGGAACCUAGCUAGAGUGCAUUUGAAAGCUAUUUUAAAUAUUUAUUAGCGCGUGCUGUACUCCACUAGAAAGACUAUUUUAAUAUGCAAUCACUGGAAAGCCCAGUUUAUUUUAACCGGCUCUAAGCUGUUGCAUAAAAAAUGCGAAGAAAAAUAUAAGUACUCCGAAAAUAACAUUUCUGGCAUCAAUACAUUGGUUGGUGAUUGAGUUUCGUUACCGCGUAAAUGAAAUUUGGGUAUCAAUUCUAAAUCUGAAUUAACGAUUUUACGAAAAGAUAACCCAAGCACGAGAAAAUCAAGUUAAAUCCGACACGUGUAAAAUUUAUGAAAAUCGAACUCGAGUUAUUUUAUUAUCUUGUUUGGCCUACGCGUCAUCGUUAACCUUUCUACCACUUGACCGCAAACGAGACUGAUAAGGAUUUCUUCGUUCUUUCGUGUUGCGUGUACUUAUACGUCAAAUUUCAACGAUAAACAAUUCUCUAUUUUUUUAAUGUACGCAUUCAUAUCAUUCAAAUCAGUUAUCUAGCAGCAAUUAUUAAACCGAUUUGAUCCAAUAAACGAGAUGAAGUCGCAAACAAAUUUUGUUAAAUAUUAUAUAAUGUUCUCAAAUAUAUAAAAUUGCACUGUAUUUUAAAUAAUCGUUGAGAAAUUCAAAGGCCAUGUGUCUGAAAACAAGAAUUUUCGUCAAAAUAUUUUUAUCAUUGAACUUUUUUUCAUCGAUUGAACGAUGCACUUUACGAAGCCUGAACACGUUUAUUUAAUGUCAAAAACUCGAAAAUACACUGCUUCAAUUUUGCAUUCCCGACAAACAAAUUAUAUUCAUUUCUGUUUUCUUUGUGCAAUUUUGAUUUUGUUUUGCAUUGCUGUCAUUUCUUUCGCAUGAUUUACCUAUAUACAGUACAUCUCAUCAUCAAGAUAUUAGAGAAGGUGCAAAUUGAAUUCUCCUAGGUGAAUCUUAUUUUCGAGUAGAGUAUGAAAUUCUCUUUUUCAACAUUAAAAGACAACGAAGUAAAAGAAGGUGACAUCGAAAUACGCCGUACUGUUUCUAUUGCAUGUCAAUACUAUUACGAGAUGAAAGUCGAAAAAAAUACACCAUUAAGCUAAUCUGUAUAACAUGCAUUUCUGAGAUGGCUACUUGAAUUGAGCUAAUCUGUAAAUUUUCGCACAGAGACUACUUGUUAUUUCGACCAAUUAUUAUUUUAUCAUUUUUAUUACUCGAUGUACAGUGUAACAUAAAAUAACGUAUUAAUAUUAAUACUAUUUUAAUAUCUUUAUGGAUUUAAUUGUACGUUAUUUGAUGAAAAAACUUACGGCAAGUGACCACCUAGAAAUGAUCAUUAUAGCUCUUGGGACUUUCCCAUCAAACUCCUUAGUAUAAUAGUUACAUAUUAGCGCACAUGCUUCUAGAUUUACAUUAUCACUACGUUGACUUUGUAAAUUAUCGAUUUUAAAUUUGUGGCCUUGAAGCGAUAUCCAUUUGUUUCACAAUUGUAAAAUCGUUCUAUUUUACGGGAGUGAGAUUUUUAUUUUCAUUUCUUCUUUGGACAAACAAUUACUCACCUUCUGAUAAGGUUCUUAUCACAAUAGUUAGCUGUCUCCCUCACGCGUAAUAUUAGUAUCAAAGGUUUUAUACAUUUUCCCUUUAUAGUCUGGGGAGUAUGCGGCAAUUUGAAAAUAGUUUUUGAAGAAUCAUAAAAUUUAUUAUCAUCAUAUUUUUCAUUUUUUUUUCUUCAUAUCUCCCAACACAGUUAGAUAUGUUACAUUAUAAUUUUUCAGAUUAAAACGUUUAGUAGCCUAGAAAGAAAUAAAAUCAUUUUCUUUGUCCUUCUUCGAAAAUUUCGUAUGCGUCAGUUUUGGCACUCAAUUGUAAUCUUCACAAAAAAAAUACAACAGAUCAACUCGCAAAAAA